rnacentral:rRNA from 1 species
GAUGAACGCUAGCGGCAGGCUUAAUACAUGCAAGUCGAGGGGCAGCGCGGGUAGCAAUACCUGGCGGCGACCGGCAAACGGGUGCGGAACACGUACGCAACCUUCCCAUAACUGGUGAAUAGCCCUCCGAAAGGAGGAUUAAUACACCGUAACAUAACGAAGAGGCAUCUUUUUGUUAUUAUAGUAGCAAUACGGUUUUGGAUGGGCGUGCGCCUGAUUAGGUAGUUGGCGGGGUAACGGCCCACCAAGCCUGCGAUCAGUAACUGGUGUGAGAGCACGACCAGUCACACGGGCACUGAGACACGGGCCCGACUCCUACGGGAGGCAGCAGUAAGGAAUAUUGGUCAAUGGACGAAAGUCUGAACCAGCCAUGCCGCGUGAAGGAUUAAGGCCCUCUGGGUUGUAAACUUCUUUUAUCUGGGACGAAAAAAGGGCAUUCUUGCUCACUUGACGGUACCAGAGGAAUAAGCACCGGCUAACUCCGUGCCAGCCGCCGAGAAAA